UACAGAGGUCUCAAGCGUUGUUCGGAUUCAUUGGGCGUAAAGGGUGCGUAGGUGGCGCUGUAAGUCGGGUGUGAAAUUUCGGAGCUUAACUCCGAAACUGCAUUCGAUACUGCGGUGCUUGAGGACUGGAGAGGAGACUGGAAUUUACGGUGUAGCAGUGAAAUGCGUAGAGAUCGGCAGGAACACCCAGGGGGGAAACCAGCCGACUGGGCAUCUACUGACGCUGAGGUGCGAGAGCGUGGGGAGCGAACCGG
rnacentral:rRNA from 1 species